AGAGUUUGAUCCUGGCUCAGGAUGAACGCUAGCGACAGGCUUAACACAUGCAAGUCGAGGGGCAGCAUGAUUUGUAGCAAUACAGAUUGAUGGCGACCGGCGCACGGGUGAGUAACGCGUAUGCAACUUACCUAUCAGAGGGGGAUAGCCCGGCGAAAGUCGGAUUAAUACCCCAUAAAACAGGGGUCCCGCAUGGGAAUAUUUGUUAAAGAUUCAUCGCUGAUAGAUAGGCAUGCGUUCCAUUAGGCAGUUGGCGGGGUAACGGCCCACCAAACCGACGAUGGAUAGGGGUUCUGAGAGGAAGGUCCCCCACAUUGGUACUGAGACACGGACCAAACUCCUACGGGAGGCAGCAGUGAGGAAUAUUGGUCAAUGGCCGAGAGGCUGAACCAGCCAAGUCGCGUGAGGGAUGAAGGUUCUAUGGAUCGUAAACCUCUUUUAUAAGGGAAUAAAGUGCGGGACGUGUCCCGUUUUGUAUGUACCUUAUGAAUAAGGAUCGGCUAACUCCGUGCCAGCAGCCGCGGUAAUACGGAGGAUCCGAGCGUUAUCCGGAUUUAUUGGGUUUAAAGGGUGCGUAGGCGGCCUUUUAAGUCAGCGGUGAAAGUCUGUGGCUCAACCAUAGAAUUGCCGUUGAAACUGGGGGGCUUGAGUAUGUUUGAGGCAGGCGGAAUGCGUGGUGUAGCGGUGAAAUGCAUAGAUAUCACGCAGAACCCCGAUUGCGAAGGCAGCCUGCUAGGGUGAAACAGACGCUGAGGCACGAAAGCGUGGGUAUCGAACAGGAUUAGAUACCCUGGUAGUCCACGCAGUAAACGAUGAAUACUAACUGUUUGCGAUACAAUGUAAGCGGUACAGCGAAAGCGUUAAGUAUUCCACCUGGGGAGUACGCCGGCAACGGUGAAACUCAA
rnacentral:rRNA from 1 species